rnacentral:rRNA from 1 species
UACAGAGGGGGCAAGCGUUGUUCGGAAUUACUGGGCGUAAAGGGCGCGUAGGCGGCCUGCUAAGUCGAACGUGAAAUCCCUCGGCUUAACCGGGGAACUGCGUCUGAUACUGGAUGGCUUGAAUCCGGGAGAGGGAUGCGGAAUUCCAGGUGUAGCGGUGAAAUGCGUAGAUAUCUGGAGGAACACCGGUGGCGAAGGCGGCAUCCUGGACCGGCAUUGACGCUGAGGAGCGAAAGCCAGGGGAGCAAACGGG